UUUGAUUUACCCAAUGAAAUAAAUAACAAACGGUAAUCCAAUAUUAUAUUUACAAAUUAUGUACACUAAUUGAAAAAUGAUACAAAAUCCAACACAAUUCAAUAGCAAGGUAAAAAAAUUGAAAAUAAAAACAAAUGAGGGAGUGUAUACAAUAAAUAGGGUAGAUGUGAAUUAAUGGGCCUACACAUGCAAGAAGAAUCAGUCCAAUAUGACUAAUUCAUUUUAAACCUAAUUAGAC
rnacentral:lncRNA from 1 species